CGGCGCGACGCGGUCGGGGCGCACUGAGGACAGUCCGCCCCGGUUUCGGGGAGAGCAGUCGCGCCGGGGGAGGGGCGGCCCGUCCCCCGGGAACCCGGGCCCGCACCGGCGCACCCGCCCCCACCCGCGAGGGGCGGCGACGGGCGGCGGAGGGGCCCGAGACCGUCGGAAGAGGGCGGACGGGGAAGGGGGGAAAACAGAACCGACCCCGCUGGAGAGCGGAGGGCAACCCCCGAAUCUUUAAACCUCCGCGCCAGAACGCGCUAGGUACCCGGGACAGGAUGGGGGCGGAAAGGCCUCCCACGCCCCAACGGCGGGCUAGGACCGCACAGCGGAGAGGAGCGGGGGAGUUUUCGCCCCAGCCCCUCGGGGCGGUCGGGACGAGCGACCAAGGCACACCCGGCCGGUCACGCCAACCCCAAUUCCCCAUCUCGGAGGGAAGACGCUCACUCGAGCGAGCGGGACCGACCCCGGCGCCUGACCGCCGGGGCCCUCGCUGGCCCACACGUCGAGGGGACCCCUCUCGAGCCGCCGGGGCAGGGGCCUCGGCACCGCCGACCCCGCCCCACCGGUGGGGACGAGGCGGUUCGGCCGCGUCGGCGAGCACGGACCCGGAGAACCUAAAAGACACCCGACCGCGGGCUGAGGCGGAGCGGAGGAAGGGGGCAAAGGGGAGGAGAGGCACCGCCGCCUUAAGCUCCCGCCCCGCCGCUCCGGCCGAGGGAAUCACCGACCCUUUCCUCCCCCAUGGGAAGCCGGGACCCUGACGACCGAAGGCGGGGAACCGGGCACCCGGGGCCCCAACCGCCCACACGGAGAGGGUGGGGCCCGGCGACGACGCCGGGUCUCUUCCCCUUUUCGCCACCUCCCCCCGAAGCCCGCACAUGCAGCGGCGGGGGCACGACCGCGCCGGGGCGGCGGGAUCGUGGUCAAGCACUUCGAGCAGCAUUCCUCUCUCGCUCGAAAACCCCCCGCCGCGGGGGGACUCGGCAUGCGCACGGGCCGCCGACGGCGUCCGGGACGCCGCCGGGGUACCGGCGGGGCCGGGCGGCCGCAGCCGCCACGACGCCUCGAGCCCGGGACCGGGGAACGACACCGCCCUAAGGCUCCCGCCGUGGGACGGCCCCCUCCCGACACCCAGCCCCGCUCCCGUCGAGCCCGGGGAGGCCACCGCCGGCCACCCCUCACGGUCGGGGCAGCCACACCCCCCUGGCGCCCCUCUCGCUCUGGGGACCCGUGUGUGUGGGCGGGGUGAGCCGGCGGACUCUCGCCUCCCGGCGGGAUCUCCUCCGGGGGCACGCGGAAGCAGGAAAGACGGGAAAGGGACCCGACGGGUUGCCCCGGGGCCGCGGCACGAGGCACGCGACUCCGGCGGCGCCGCCCUCGGCGCCCGAGACCCAGGGGCGCGCGCAAACAUCUGGACCGAAACCGACGCCCCGCUGGAGUCUCUUCCGGAGAGGGGCUAAGGCAGGGUUGCAGGGGGGCCGGCUGCCGCUCGCCGAGCCCCUCCCAAGCCGCGGCUCUCCCUCGCUCGCGUUAGAGCCUGGUUUCCCUCCGGGCGGCUCCCGCACCCUCACGUGGCCGA
rnacentral:lncRNA from 1 species